AUUGAACGCUGGCGGCAGGCCUAACACAUGCAAGUCGAACGAGUGGCGGACGGGUGAGUAAUGUCUGGGAAACUGCCUGAUGGAGGGGGAUAACUACUGGAAACGGUAGCUAAUACCGCAUACCCCCAGAUGGUCCCAGAUGGGAUUAGCUGGUGGGUGGGGUAAGGGCUCACCAAGGCGACGAUCCCUAGCUGGUCUGAGAGGAUGACCAGCCACACUGGAACUGAGACACGGUCCAGACUCCUACGGGAGGCAGCAGUGGGGAAUAUUGCACAAUGGGCGCAAGCCUGAUGCAGCCAUGCCGCGUGUGUGAAGAAGGCCUUCGGGUUGUAAAGCACUUUCAGCGAGGAGGCGUUACCCGCAGAAGAAGCACCGGCUAACUCCGUGCCAGCAGCCGCGGUAAUUC
rnacentral:rRNA from 1 species